AACGAACGCUGGCGGCGCGCCUAAUACAUGCAAGUCGAGCGAGAAGACGUAGCAAUACGUUUGUAAAGCGGCGAACGGGUGAGGAAUACAUGGGUAACCUACCCUCGAGUGGGGAAUAACUAGCCGAAAGGUUAGCUAAUACCGCGUACGCUCCUUGGACUUCGGUUCAGGGAGGAAAGCGAUACCGUGGGUAUCGCGCUCUUGGAUGGGCUCAUGUCCUAUCAGCUUGUUGGUGAGGAACGGCUCACCAAGGCUUCGACGGGUAGCUGGUCUGAGAGGACGAUCAGCCACACUGGCACUGCGACAC
rnacentral:rRNA from 1 species